CCUACGGGAGGCAGCAGUGGGGAAUAUUGCACAAUGGGGGAAACCCUGAUGCAGCGACGCCGCGUGAGUGAAGAAGUACCUCGUUAUGGAAAGCUCUAUCAGCAGGGAAGUAAAUGACGGUACCUGUGCAAGAAGCCCCGGCUAACUACGUGCCAGCAGCCGCGGUAAUACGCAGGGGGCAAGCGUAAUCCGGAUUUACCGGGUGUAAAGGGAGCGUAGACGGCAGUGCAAGUCUGGAGUGAAAGGCGGGGGCUCAACCCCCGGACUGCUCUGGAAACUGUACGGCUGGAGUGCAGGAGAGGUAAGUGGAAUGCCUAGUGUAGCGGUGAAAUGCGUAGAUAUUAGGAGGAACACCAGUGGCGAAGGCGGCUUACUGGACUGUAACUGACGUUGAGGCUCGAAAGCGUGGGGAGCAAACAGGAUUAGAUACCCCUGUAGUC
rnacentral:rRNA from 1 species